AGCGAACUCUGGCGGCAGGCCUAACACAUGCAAGUCGAACGAACCUUUCGGGGUUAGUGGCGGACGGGUGAGUAACACGUGGGAACGUGCCUUUAGGUUCGGAAUAACUCAGGGAAACUUGUGCUAAUACCGAAUGUGCCCUUCGGGGGAAAGAUUUAUCGCCUUUAGAGCGGCCCGCGUCUGAUUAGCUAGUUGGUUGAGGUAAUGGCUCACCAAGGCGACGAUCAGUAGCUGGUCUGAGAGGAUGAUCAGCCACAUUGGGACUGAGACACGGCCCAAACUCCUACGGGAGGCAGCAGUGGGGAAUCUUGCGCAAUGGGCGAAAGCCUGACGCAGCCAUGCCGCGUGAAUGAUGAAGGUCUUAGGAUUGUAAAAUUCUUUCACCGGGGACGAUAAUGACGGUACCCGGAGAAGAAGCCCCGGCUAACUUCGUG
rnacentral:rRNA from 1 species